UUCUUUCUUUUUUUUUUUCUCUCACAAAUAAUUCUGCAAUAAUUAUCUUUAUACUUACAUCUUUGAGCACAUGUCUGGAAGAUCUGUGGGAUAAAUUCCUAGAAGUGAAAUUACUGGAUCUAAGUAAUUACUACUCUAAUCUUUGUGCACUACAAAAUUUGAUAGAUAUUGUCAAGUUGUCUUCUGAUCAGCAAAUUAUACUCCUAAUACCUUUACAUGAAAAUGCCAAGAGAGGAGGUUAUUUAAAAUUUUUGCCAAUCUGCUAAGCAUCCUCUUGUAAUUUUUAUUUGUUUUUAUCUUAAGAGUGAAAUUGAGCAUUUUAAAAAAUAUUUCAAAAAUCUCAAUUUUUUCCGUUUUGAGAAACAAUCUAUUAUAAAAUGGACUUUCAGAAGUGAAAAUGAUACAUCCGCUGGUUUUAUGAAGAUCCUUCUAGUCUCAUCACCAGGAACAACAAUAUUUCUGCCGUCACAAGCUGCCUGACAGCUCCGUUAUAGGAUGUACUCUGAUUUCUUUGUGGUUGUUCCUCAAUUCCACUGCACCAGAGCUAACAGGAGAAGACGCUUGUUUUCUUUAGUGUAUUUGGUAGUGGAAGGUGCCAAGGGGUCAAAAGAUGGAAGUGAUAUGAUCUUUCCUUAGAUGUAUUUUUUUUUUAUUUAUUAUUUUUGGCUGCAUUGGGUCUUCGUUGCUGCGCGCGGGCUUUCUCUAGUUGCAGCAAGCGGGGGCUACUCUUCGUUGGGGUGCACGAGCUUCUCACUGUGGUGGCUUCUCUUGUUGCAGAGCACGGGCUCUAGAGCGCAGGCUCAGUAGUUGGGGCGCACGGGCUUAGUUGCUCCACAGCAUGUGAGAUCUUCCCAGACCAGGGCUUGAACCCAUGUCCCCUGCAUUGGCAGGCAGAUUCUUAACCACUGCUCCACCAGGGAGGCCCCUUAGAUGCAUUUCUAGAGGCUGUCACCUGCUCAGAGAAUUGGAGGAUCCAAGAGCAAAAGAACUUGAAGAAAUCUUUUACAUCCAAGAUACCCCAGUGAAAUCAUUCAGAGUUCUGGAGGCUUGAAGUCCAAGAUCAAGGUGCUGGCAGAUUUGAUUCCUGGCUAGGCACUUUCAUAUUUCGUGUUAAAUCAUUCUUACUCAACCUUGAGAUGUGGAUAUGGAAAAGAACCGACACCUCAUAGCUAAUAAGAGGAGGAUCUGGGAGUUGAAAGCAGGCCUGUGUGACUUCAGAGUUUUGCUAUUUCUGCUGGCCUAUUCCAGGAAGAGCUUCAUCCUUUAAAACAGUGAGAUGGCCACCCCCGUCGUCCAGUCACUCUUUAAGGGAGCCCAGCCCUGACCAGAGCCUGUUUCCUGGUGAACCAGCUUUAACAUCUGACAAGGGCACCAUCAGGACAGGAACCCUAUUCAAGGAGAAACAGACCCCAGGUUCCUUUCCAGGCCACUGUCCAUGGCAAUCUCAGGAUUCCUUGGAAGGACAAGAUGUGGCUGUGUGGAUGGCAGUCAAGGAACGACACCCUGAUCUUUAGUGGCUGAGGCUAAUGACGCUGGUUCCUCACUGUUUUGUUUUUGUUCUUCUGCUGAGUUUAGAUUUUUAGAUGAAAGGUUUUUACUAAAAGCUGCUUCUCUCCUCCUCUGAGAACCAUCUGAAGCUCCAGAAGCUUCUUGCUGUGAAAAAGCUUGAUUCUGCUGCCACCUGCUGUCCUUAAGCCAGAAACAACUUUGGAAAAGAUGAGGUCUUGUUCAAAAGCCCUCGUCUGAAUAUGCUGUGCUUGUAUAUUUAGGCCUCUUCUUUAUGUCUAGGUUUUUAUGUUUUCUACCUAAAAGUUCUUAUCCCUUGAAAAUACAUCAUAAGAGUGAUCUGACUGAAGCUCUGUCAAUAGAAAAGUUCCGCAUAAACUUUUUGUUAUUUAAAUCAGAUCUCAGGCAUGGUAGCAGAGACAGUGGCCAGGGAUCCUCCACAAAUAGCUUGUCAGCAGAACAUGAGCACAUGUGAGAGACUUCCUAUCAGCCUCAGAAAUAACAGGGGAGAUGGAACAGCCUAAGAUCAUGCAGCUGUGCUGCUGGAGGCCAGGUGGUCAACACAAUCUAGCACUGAUGUUAACGUGGCCUCACUGGUGUCCAUGGGCGUGGGAGGCCUGGGAACAUUUGGCUUACAUGCACAUGGGGACACUGAAGCCCGGAGAGUUCAGGGAACUCGCCCAAAGGCAUCCAGCAAAUAAAUGGUAAGGAAGCCAAAUGUCCUGCACCUUUGCAACUUUUCGAAGUUGGCUCCCAAAUGGGCUCCUGUUAAGGAAAACCUGAAGAAGUGACUUCUUGAAUUUUUUCAUGAAGCAGGACCUGGAAAGGACACAGCAUGGACAGACUCUGUGUUGAGAUCAGCUUCACACAAUAGGACAUGCAAAGUCCCAGGAGGCCCACUAGGGAAAAAUACCCAGACCAGGUUUCUACCAGCUGUCCUGUAAAAGAGGCCUGCUCUGCACACGGGCCAGUCAGACUGGGACCCAUCUCUGCAGUCCCCAGGGGCAUGCAACCUGCCUGGACGUUCCUCUUGGAUUCAUUCGGGCCCAGAUAUCAUAAAGACCCUAAUAUUGCCUGCCCCAAGCUCAUGUCAGAAAUCUCAUACAUCAUUCUUUCAAU